ensembl:piRNA 21ur-6730 ncRNA
UGUUGAUUUGAUUUUGUGUCC